rnacentral:rRNA from 1 species
GGGGAAUAUUGGACAAUGGGGGAAACCCUGAUCCAGCGACGCCGCGUGUGUGAAGAAGGCCUGCGGGUUGUAAAGCACUUUUAGUGGGGAUGAAAAGCUCAGGGCUAAUACCCCUGGGUCUUGACCUAACCCAAAGAAAAAGCACCGGCUAACUCUGUGCCAGCAGCCGCGGUAAUACAGAGGGUGCGAGCGUUAAUCGGAAUUACUGGGCGUAAAGCGUGCGUAGACGGUCAUCUAAGUCGGAUGUGAAAUCCCCGGGCUCAACCUGGGAAUUGCAUUCGAUACUGGAUGGCUAGGGUGCGGAAGAGGGAAGCGGAAUUUCCGGUGUAGCGGUGAAAUGCGUAGAUAUCGGAAGGAACACCAGUGGCGAAAGCGGCUUCCUGGUCCAGCACCGACGUUCAGGCACGAAAGCGUGGGGAGCAAAC